CCGGGGCGGCGAGGGCGGCAUCGGCCCACGAGCGCGGGGCACCGGGUGCUCUGCGCCCGCCUGGGACUGGAGCGAAGUCUCCAAGGAAACGCGAAGCGGAAGAAAGUUCCUGAGUCAACAGAAAGGGGCCUCCCAGGUGUGCAGGAAGGAGAUUGGGGCUGCUCUGCCCAUUUGGCUGGACCCUUUGUCAUUGCAGGAGCACAGUAUGAGAAGCUUGGCUGGUGCAUCAUGGGAGCCUGAGUCCCAAUGACGGAAGAAGUUUUUGAUCUCCAGUUCCAGCUGCUUGGCCUGGACCUCUCGCUGUGUCACCAGUUCACGGAGCCUUCGAAUCUCUUCCUGCUGUCUGUAGAACAUCUGUAGCAGCUGGGAAAGCAGAGAUCAGAGGACAGAGUUACCUGGCUAGCCUGGGAUGCUGGGGCAGGGCACUAGAAGACCAAAACACCACCCCACCCUUUUUUAGUGAUACUAGAAUUUGAACUCAGUGCUUCAUGCUUGGAAGAGGUAGUUGCUCUGCCACUUGAGCCAUGCCCAGACAUUAAAAAUAAUUUUGAUACUAUUAACAUGAUAUACAGAAGGGCUACAAUUUCAUAAGUCAGAUAAUGAGUACAUUUUUUUUGGAUAAUAUCACCCCUUCCUUUACUUUUCCCCAGUUUCUCUCUUUCAUUCCUUGUCCAUAAGUUACACAGGUCAUUUUCCACCAUAGUGUAUACUGAAGACCACUGUUGCAUUUGUUCACUCUUCCUCCCUCCCUUUCUGCACCUUUACUUUACCAACCCAGGAGAA